UACAGAGGGGGCCAGCGUUAUUCGGAAUUAUUGGGCGUAAAGGGCGCGUAGGCGGCCAUGCGUGUCUUCCGUGAAAUCCCUCGGCUUAACUGAGGACGUGCGGAAGAAACUGCAAGGCUCGAGUCCGGGAGAGGGGGGUGGAAUUCCCAGUGUAGCGGUGAAAUGCGUAGAUAUCAAGAGGAACACCUGAGGUGAAGACGGGUUGCUGGGCUGACACUGACGCUGAGGCGCGAAAGCUAGGGUAGCAAACGGG
rnacentral:rRNA from 1 species